rnacentral:piRNA from 1 species
UGCUAGGAUCACAUACUUACUGAAAUC